CAGUCGCCGCGGGAAUACGUAGGUCCCGAGCGUUGUCCGGAUUUAUUGGGCGUAAAGCGAGCGCAGGCGGUUAGAUAAGUCUGAAGUUAAAGGCUGUGGCUUAACCAUAGUACGCUUUGGAAACUGUUUAACUUGAGUGCAAGAGGGGAGAGUGGAAUUCCAUGUGUAGCGGUGAAGUGCGUAGAUAUAUGGAGGAACACCGGUGGCGAGAGCGGCUCUCUGGCUUGUAACUGACGCUGAGGCUCGAAAGCGUGGGGAGCAAACAGGAUUAGAUACCCCAGUAGUCCCUGUCUCUUAUACC
rnacentral:rRNA from 1 species